CUUGCUGCUUUAUAUGAAAUCCAGGAAAAUCUACUCCAGAAGAGUGAGUUCAGUGCAGCCUUUUCCCAAGGAAUCUCCUUCUGAUACAAAUACAAGCUAAUAAUGAUCUCAACUGUUUAUCUGAGAGGAGGGAGCAAUAGGACUGGUUUUUGGCUGGGUUGGCUCCCGUUGCUGCUGAAGCAAGAAGAUGAAGCACUGCUCUUUAAUGGAUGGUCAAUUCAAGACCCUCCCGAUCAUUUGCUGCAAACAAUGGGAAAAAUACUCGGGCACUUUGAUACUGUAUUCUCAAUGUUUUCCCCAAGACUAAGGCACUGACACUGACACAUGAAGACCCCUGCUUCGGACAGAAAAGUAAGGUGUUCCCUGUAGCAAAGUUCUGCUUUCUGGCACUGUGCUCCCUGCAGCUACCAUGCUGUGCCAGGGAAAUGGCAAGGCAAAUGGACUGGCAGGAUGUGGCUCUACACAUGUUGAACACGUACCUUCCUUGUUUAACAUGUCCUCCUCUAUUUGCACAAAAGGACUGUAGUUGUUAACGUGCUAAUAAGUUUUAUUUUGACCAUGUGGAGCAUGCUGAAUUUUUAUUUUUCAUACACUGCAUUUGCUGUUAUAUGCCUUUCGUAUGAACACUGCCUCCCUGUCUUAUAAAGCAUUGCCAUUCUGUGCCCUGAGGAAGGAAGCUGAAAUAUGAAUAGGCUUCUCAUCCCAUACAAGUUGCUUCUUGGCCAGGCUGUCAAGGUAAGUUUGCAUUUCUGUUACUCUUUUAUUCUUAUUAGAUGGAUUUACAGAAGGCGAUGGGUCUUUAGGGAUGUCACUUCAGCCCUUAAAGGACAGGAUUGUGGCUAUUUUUCACUUUGCAAGGGGAAAUAUUGGAAGGGGUGCUGAAGAGGUUCCCACACAGAGGUGACUCAAGAUAGCUGAGAUGAAGAAAUUUGUUUUUCAACAACUGCUACGCAAGUUACUAUCAUUUGUUCCUUUAAAAUUCUUCUAUUUUGUGAACGUGUGCUAAGAAACUUGAAUGAUAGGAAGAACAAUUCAGUGGCUCAAAUGAAAUUGGCAGCUUUCCAUGUGCUACUGUAUUUGUAAGCAUCUGUUCUGAUGAAAGAAAUGUGAAUAAUAUUACUGGAUAUUAUGCCAACGUUACAAAAAGUGCACUCAGUGGUAAUUAAGAAAUUACAUACAUGUAAAUGAUCUUAAAGCUGGCUUAAAAUUAAGCUAGAAGUCUACAGCAGAAUGAUGUCAUGUUGGACCAUUUCCAUUUUUAGGAGAUGCUUACCCACUAACUUCCAUUCUGCAGAAUUUCCCCAGCGCAGUAAAAGGGUUCUUUGUGCUAAAGAAAUUACCACAUAGAUAAAUGAUGACAAAGAAGUGAUUUUCUUUUCAUAUGUGAUAUAUUCUGCCACAGAAAAACAAUUUCAGCUGCAUUUCUCAACAAAAGCAGGAGCUGACCAGGGUAGAUUACUUGCUAUUACCAUUUUUAAUCAUCAUUUAAAUCAACAAAGAGGAAACAGUUUUAAAUAAUAAAUUUUAUCUUGUUUUGCA
rnacentral:lncRNA from 1 species